GAUGAAGAACGCAGCGAAAUGCGAUAAGUAAUGUGAAUUGCAGAAUUCAGUGAAUCAUCGAAUCUUUGAACGCACAUUGCGCCCGCCAGUAUUCUGGCGGGCAUGCCUGUUCGAGCGUCAUUACAACCCUCAGGCCCCCGGGCCUGGCGUUGGGGAUCGGCGGAGCCCCCCGUGGGCACACGCCGUCCCCCAAAUACAGUGGCGGUCCCGCCGCAGCUUCCAUCGCGUAGUAGCUAACACCUCGCGACUGGAGAGCGGCGCGGCCACGCCGUAAAACACCCAACUCUUCUGAAGUUGACCUCGAAUCAGGUAGGAAUACCCGCUGAACUUAAGCAUAUCAAUAAGCGGAGA
rnacentral:misc_RNA from 1 species